UACGUAGGGGGCAAGCGUUGUCCGGAUUUAUUGGGCGUAAAGAGCGUGUAGGCGGCCAGGUAGGUCUGGUGUGAAAACUCGAGGCUCAACCUCGAGAGGUCAUCGGAAACCAUCUGGCUAGAGUCCGGAAGAGGAGAGUGGAAUUCCCGGUGUAGCGGUGAAAUGCGCAGAUAUCGGGAAGAACACCUAUGGCGAAGGCAGCUCUCUGGGACGGUACUGACGCUGAGACGCGAAAGCGUGGGGAGCGAACAGGAUUAGAUACCCUGGUAGUCCACGCCGUAAACGAUGGGUGCUAGGUGUGGGUGGUGUCGACUCCAUCCGUGCCGCAGCUAACGCAUUAAGCACCCCGCCUGGGGAGUACGGCCGCAAGGCUAAA
rnacentral:rRNA from 1 species